rnacentral:rRNA from 1 species
CAAACCAAAGCUGGCGACCGGCGCACGGUGAGUAACACGUAUCCAACCUGCCGAUAACUCGGGGAUAGCCUUUCGAAAGAAAGAUUAAUACCCGAUGGUAUAAUCAGACCGCAUGGUUUGAUUAUUAAAGAAUUUCGGUUAUCGAUGGGGAUGCGUUCCAUUAGGCAGUUGGUGAGGUAACGGCUCACCAAACCUUCGAUGGAUAGGGGUUCUGAGGGGAAGGUCCCCCACAUUGGAACUGAGACACGGUCCAA